rnacentral:rRNA from 1 species
CCCUUAGAAGUUCUGGGCCGCACGCGUGCUACACUGAGUGGAUCAGCGGGUCAGGUUGCGCGAAAGCGUUUCCUAAUCUUUAAAUCCGCUCGUGAUGGGGAUUGACGGUUGCAAUUUUCUGUCAUGAACGAGGAAUACCUUGUAAGCGCGGGUCAUCAUCCCGCGCUGAAUACGUCCCUGCCCUUUGUACACACCGCCCGUCGCUCCUACCGAUUGAGUGGUCCGGUGAGGCUUUGGGAUCUGAGCGGAAAGAGCGUUUCGCUGUUUCUGCUCGGAAAACUCAGUCGAACCUUAUCAUUUAGAGGAAGGAGAAGUCGUAACA